GACGAACGCUGGCGGCGUGCUUAACACAUGCAAGUCGAGCGGUAAGGCCCGUUUCGGGGGUACACGAGCGGCGAACGGGUGAGUAACACGUGGGUGACCUGCCCUCAGCUCUGGGAUAAGCCUGGGAAACCGGGUCUAAUACCGGAUAUGACUCCAUGACGCAUGUUGUGGGGUGGAAAGCCUUGUGCGGCUGAGGAUGGGCCCGCGGCCUAUCAGCUUGUUGGUGGGGUGANGGCCUACCAAGGCGACGACGGGUAGCCGGCCUGAGAGGGCGACCGGCCACACUGGGACUGAGACACGGCCCAGACUCCGUACGGGAGGCAGCAGGU
rnacentral:rRNA from 1 species